rnacentral:misc_RNA from 1 species
AAAUCAAACAGGUUAUAUACAUACGCCAGAGUUAUAUGAUCCAUGAUUGAUAUCUUCGGAAAGGACAAGAAGUUCAGUCUCAUGUAGGAAUUGUUUAAGGAAAUGGAGGAGUAAUAAGGGUAUGUUUCAUGGCUCACAAUGAGUAAGGUGAUGAGGCGGCUUGCUAUAGCUGGCAAGUAUGUAGAUGCAAUUGAGACAUUUAGAAAUUCAUUCAAUAAGCAUCAAUGUAAGUGCAGGGUUUUGAUUCUUUUGAUUUUUGAAGAUUCGAUUUGCGUAGAAAAUUAAAAGGAGAGCUGAGAAAGCAAAGAGAGAAAAGGAAAAUGAAAGAAGAUGAGGAAAGGAAGAACUAG